UACGGGGGGGGUAAGCGUUGUUCGGAAUUAUUGGGCGUAAAGGGCUCGUAGGCGGUCCAUCGCGUCGGGAGUGAAAAGCUGGGGCUUAACCCCAGUCCUGCUUUCGAUACGGGUGGGCUAGAGGUAGGCAGGGGAGAAUGGAAUUCCUGGUGUAGCGGUGAAAUGCGCAGAUAUCAGGAGGAACACCGGUGGCGAAGGCGGUUCUCUGGGCCUUACCUGACGCUGAGGCACGAAAGCCAGGGGAGCAAACGGG
rnacentral:rRNA from 1 species